rnacentral:rRNA from 1 species
UGGGGAAUUUUGGACAAUGGGGGAAACCCUGAUCCAGCCAUCCCGCGUGUGCGAUGAAGGCCUUCGGGUUGUAAAGCACUUUUGGCAGGAAAGAAACGUCAUGGGUUAAUACCCCGUGAAACUGACGGUACCUGCAGAAUAAGCACCGGCUAACUACGUGCCAGAAGCCGCGGUAAUACGUAGGGUGCAAGCGUUAAUCGGAAUUACUGGGCGUAAAGCGUGCGCAGGCGGUUCGGAAAGAAAGAUGUGAAAUCCCAGAGCUCAACUUUGGAACUGCAUUUUUAACUACCGGGCUAGAGUGUGUCAGAGGGAGGUGGAAUUCCGCGUGUAGCAGUGAAAUGCGUAGAUAUGCGGAGGAACACCGAUGGCGAAGGCAGCCUCCUGGGAUAACACUGACGCUCAUGCACGAAAGCGUGGGGAGCAAACAGG